UACGUAGGGUGCAAGCGUUAAUCGGAAUUACUGGGCGUAAAGCGUGCGCAGGCGGUUUUGUAAGACAGGCGUGAAAUCCCCGGGCUCAACCUGGGAAUGGCGCUUGUGACUGCAAAGCUGGAGUGCGGCAGAGGGGGAUGGAAUUCCGCGUGUAGCAGUGAAAUGCGUAGAUAUGCGGAGGAACACCGAUGGCGAAGGCAAUCCCCUGGGCCUGCACUGACGCUCAUGCACGAAAGCGUGGGGAGCAAACAGGAUUAGAUACCCCGGUAGUCCC
rnacentral:rRNA from 1 species